GCAGAUGUAGCCUAGCUGGUAAGACGCCGGCUUCGAGCGUUGAUUAUCAUACCCGAGAAAGCCGGUGCGCGUAAGCGUUCGGGGGUUCGAGUCCCUCCAUCUGCG
rnacentral:tRNA from 1 species